rnacentral:tRNA from 1 species
CCAUUAUGGUCAUGGCGUUAGCCUUUUAAGCUAAAACAUGGUGCCUACCGAACACCCUUAG